AUCAAAUACCACGUGGCCGCAGGCAAACAGUUAAUGUCCAGUUUCAGUAAUGAUAUUGAGAUUGGAUCAUGGGAGAAUGGUUACAAAAUUAGGAUCAAUCGCUACCAUAACGGUCAGGUGAUGACAGCAACUGGAAGUAAUAUAAGCUCACGUGAUAAUCUUGGAUCCAAUGGAGUGGUACAUCUCCUUGAUGAUGUCAUGUUUCCGCUUCCGGAGAACAGUAUUCUACAGUACUGCGCAUCCAACCAGAACUUAACACAGCUGACUUACUCUUUUGUCCGAGCCAACCUACAGUAUGACAUUCAAGGUGGUCCCUUUACCGUCUUUGCUCCAAUAGAGGCCGCCUUUGACGCCCUUCCUACCGGGUUUCUGAACACAGAGUUUCUCACGCUGUCCGCUUCUCGAAACCUCUUACAAUAUCACUACAUCCGGGGCACGUAUUACAGCGCCGGUCUGAUGGACGGAGAUAAAAUCCAAACCGUCCAGGGCACCGAUGUCGUCAUCCACAAAACGAACGGCGCGGUGAUGGUGGAGAAUGCCAAGGUUCUACAGGCGGACAUCAAGGUCACUAAUGGCGUCGUUCACCUGAUUGACAAGGUCUUACUGGUCACAGAUCACGUGAGCGGGGAAUCACUGCCUCAGUCCAUCGGAUAAACCCGUUGUAAGGGAUCACACUUACAUCCACCCAUCUCCUACAUUGUACAUAGUCACAUAUGUUUACCUUUCAUUGAAUAAAUGUGUUUUCUA
rnacentral:misc_RNA from 1 species